rnacentral:rRNA from 1 species
GGGAAUAUUGCGCAAUGGGCGAAAGCCUGACGCAGCGACGCCGCGUGAGGGACGAAGGCCUUCGGGUUGUAAACCUCUUUCAGCAGGGACGAAGCGAAAGUGACGGUACCUGCAGAAGAAGCACCGGCCAACUACGUGCCAGCAGCCGCGGUAAUACGUAGGGUGCAAGCGUUGUCCGGAUUUAUUGGGCGUAAAGAGCUCGUAGGCGGUUUGUCGCGUCGGCUGUGAAAACUCGGGGCUCAACCCCGAGCCUGCAGUCGAUACGGGCAGACUAGAGUUCGGUAGGGGAGACUGGAAUUCCUGGUGUAGCGGUGAAAUGCGCAGAUAUCAGGAGGAACACCGAUGGCGAAGGCAGGUCUCUGGGCCGAUACUGACGCUGAGGAGCGAAAGCGUGGGGAGCGAA